CCGGGCCGGAGCUGCCGGGAUGCGCGUGUGGAGCUGCGCGCUGCUGGCGGCGGCGCUGCUGGCGUGGCUGCUGGGCCUGGCGGCGGCCCGCGACACGUGGUCGCUGAGGCCGCACUACCGCGGGCCGGUGCCCGUGCCCUUCAAGCCGUGCGCGCCGCGCCACAAGAGGGACUCCCGCGGCGUGUGCAGGCGCGUGUGGCCGUGGCGCAGCUGAAGUCGCCUGACGAUGGAACAACAAACUUAGCUCUCAACACGGGGAAGAGGUUGCUCACAGCUGCACAUCCAAACAGAAUCCUGUUUGACAGAUGCUGACGACAAUAGAGACUAUGAACAAUCGACUGCCCGUGAUGCUCCGUCAGGCAGCAUCGGGACAGACACUCGUGCUCCGCAGGUGGCACAGCCCCGAGGGUGAGCUAGCGAUGAGAGAUCCUGGAGCAAGAUGAUCUCUCUGCUCCCUUGCUUCCCCGUGGACAAUGCGCGUAUGUCGACACCUUGGUUGCCACGCAACGUCUUGCCUUAACCUGUCAUCUAUCCCUUCAUUAUCACCUGAAGGAGUUUGUUCACAGAUGUAUUCACUACUUGUUUAAUAUCAUGUGUUUUUUAUAUUAAUAAAUGCUUAUAAAAAAAUAA